rnacentral:rRNA from 1 species
GACGAACGCUGGCGGUGUGCUUAACACAUGCGAGUGGUGCGACGAACCAGAGCUUGCUCUGGGGCAAAGCCGCGAACGGGUGAGUAACACGUGGGUAAUCUACCCCGAUGACCGGGACAACCCGAGGAAACUCGGGCUAAUACCGGAUGUGGUGCGGAGACAUAAGUCUCUUCACUAAAGGUAGCUUCGGCUUCCGCAUUGGGAGGGGCCCGCGGCCCAUUAGCUUGUUGGUGGGGUCAAGGCCUACCAAGGCAACGAUGGGUAGCUGGUCUGAGAGGACGAUCAGCCACACUGGGACUGAGACACGGCCCAGACUCCUACGGGAGGCAGCAGUGGGGAAUCUUGCGCAAUGCGCGAAAGCGUGACGCAGCAACACCGCGUGAGGGAAGAAGGCCUUAGGGUUGUAAACCUCUUUCAGAUGGGACGAAGGUUCUCCGGUGAAUAGCCGAGAGGAUUGACGGUACCGUCAGAAGAAGCUCCGGCUAACUACGU